UCCAGACUCCUACGGGAGGCAGCAGUGGGGGAUAUUGCACAAUGGGGGGAACCCUGAUGCAGCGACGCCGCGUGGGUGAAGGAGCGUUUCGGCGCGUAAAGCCCUCUCGGCAGGGAAGAAGGAGGACGGUACCUGACUAAGAAGCCCCGGCUAACUACGUGCCAGCAGCCGCGGUAAUACGUAGGGGGCAAGCGUUAUCCGGAGUUACUGGGUGUAAAGGGGGCGCAGACGGCAGCGCAAGCCAGGAGUGAAAGCCCGGGGCCCAACCCCGGGACUGCUCUUGGAACUGCGCGGCUGGAGUGCAGGAGGGGCAGGCGGAAUUCCUGGUGUAGCGGUGAAAUGCGUAGAUAUCAGGAGGAACACCGGUGGCGAAGGCGGCCUGCUGGACUGCGACUGACGUUGAGGCCCGAAAGCGUGGGGAGCAAACAGGAUUAGAUACCCCAGUA
rnacentral:rRNA from 1 species